GACGAACGCUGGCGGCGUGCUUAACACAUGCAAGUCGAACGGAAAGGCCCUGCUUUUGUGGGGUGCUCGAGUGGCGAACGGGUGAGUAACACGUGAGUAACCUGCCCUUGACUUUGGGAUAACUUCAGGAAACUGGGGCUAAUACCGGAUAGGAGCUCCUGCUGCAUGGUGGGGGUUGGAAAGUUUCGGCGGUUGGGGAUGGACUCGCGGCUGAUCAGCUUGUUGGUGGGGUAGUGGCUUACCAAGGCUUUGACGGGUAGCCGGCCUGAGAGGGUGACCGGCCACAUUGGGACUGAGAUACGGCCCAGACUCCUACGGGAGGCAGCAGUGGGGAAUAUUGCACAAUGGGCGGAAGCCUGAUGCAGCAACGCCGCGUGCGGGAUGAUGGCCUUCGGGUUGUAAACCGCUUUCGCCUGUGACGAAGCGUGAGUGACGGUAAUGGGUAAAGAAGCAUCGGCUAACUACGUG
rnacentral:rRNA from 1 species